rnacentral:lncRNA from 1 species
UACAACUUAAGUCAAUGGGCUUGACGUUCGAAGCCCAUUGGGCCUUAAGGUCCAAAACUAUCCCGAGGUCUUCAACGAACUUAUUCGUUUGAUUAAUUAACGUAUUAUUUAAUCCUUGCCAUAAAUAAUUAAACCAUUUAAUUAUUCUUACUCAUCUCCAUUGUUUCUUCAAUCUCCACCUUACACGGUGUACGAUCCAUUAGGUUCCUUUUAGCGAGGUAGUGGGCGAUUAAAACUCUUUCAAAUCGAUUGUGAAUUGAAACUUACUUUCAAUUCUCCCUUUAGUGUUUAUA